rnacentral:rRNA from 1 species
CCCUUAGAUGUCCUGGGCUGCACGCGCGCUACACUGGAAGUUACGGAUUGAGAUACUACCUUGUCCGAAAUGGUCCGGGUAAUCACCUAAAAGCUUGUCAUAAUUGGAAUGGAUUAUUGUAACUAGUAAUCCUGAACUAGGAAUUCCUAGUAAGUCCCAGUCAACAGCUGGUACUGAUUACGUCCCUGCCCUUUGUACACACCGCCCGUCGCUACUACUGAUUGGACGUUUAAGCAAGAUUUUUAAACACUGACAGUGUGUAGUUCACGCUAUACUACAGUGAGAAGAAGAAGAUCGAGCUUACUUGUCUAGAGGAAGUAAAAGUCGUAACA